UCAUAAUUCCUUGGAUAGUGAUAAAACUUCCUCGGAUAACUGUGGAAAAUCCAGAGCUAAUACGUGCGACUGAGUUCCGACCUUGGCGUGAGCCUCGGGAAGAACGCAUUUAUUAAAUUCAAAACUGACCGGCGUACUCCUGCGGGAUGCGCCGAUCGUCAAAUGUUUGAUGACUCCGGAUAACUUAGCCGAGCGCUACGGUCUUUAGUACCGGCGCCGUAUCUUUCAAGUGUCUGCCUUAUCAGCUUUCGAUUGUAGGUUAAACGCCUACAAUGGCUGUAACGGGUAACGGGGAAUCAGGGUUCGAUUCCGGAGAGGGAGCCUGAGAAACGGCUACCACAUCUAAGGAAGGCAGCAGGCACGCAAAUUACCCACUCCCAGCCCGGGGAGGUAGUGACGAAAAAUAACGAUGCGAGACUCUUCCGAGGCCUCGCAAUCGGAAUGAGUUCAUUUUAAAACUUUGGACGAGGAUCCAUUGGAGGGCAAGUCUGGUGCCAGCAGCCGCGGUAAUUCCAGCUCCAAUAGCGUAUAUUAAAGUUGCUGCGGUUAAAAAGCUCGUAGUUGGAUCUCCUAGAUCCAUUUAGUGAUCGAGUCGCUCGUUGAGUUAGCGGCCUUCGCCAGUCGCCGGGACUAAGGUGGGUGGUCUUGCUGUUUCGCGUUCCUCGGAGUAUCGGUCUCGUAUCGGUCUUUGGGGAGUAAGAUCAGCUCGCUUCCUUAUCCUAUUCCGGAGGACGGUUGGUUGUUGUCUUCGAGUAUUGCUCGUUCGCUUGUGGUACAAUUAAAAAUUUGUCGGCUCGCUCGGAGUGCUCUUUACCGAGUGUUCCAGGGUGGCCGACACGUUCACUUUGAAAAAAUUAGAGUGCUUAAAGCGGGCGCAUACGCUGCCUGAAUGUCUGUGCAUGGAAUGAAGUAACAGGACCUCGAUUCUGUUGUUUUUGUCGGUUUUAUUGAACCGAGGUAAUGAUUAAAAGGGACAGACGGUGGCAUUAGUAUUGCGGCGCUAGAGGUGAAAUUCUUGGACCGCUGCAAGACUAACUACUGCGAAAGCAUUUGCCGAGAAUGUUUUCAUUAAUCAAGAACGAAAGUUAGAGGAUCGAAGGCGAUCAGAUACCGCCCUAGUUCUAACCCUAAACUAUGCUAACUAGCGAUCCGCCGGAGUCAUUCCCACGACCCGGCGGGAAGCCCCAGGGAAACCAAAGUUUUUGAGUUCCGGGGGAAGUAUGGUUGCAAAGCUGAAACUUAAAGGAAUUGACGGAAGGGCACCACCAGGAGUGGAGCCUGCGGCUUAAUUUGACUCAACACGGGAAACCUCACCAGGCCCGGACAUCAUAAGGAUUGACAGGUUGAGAGCUCUUUCUCGAUUUGAUGGGUGGUGGUGCAUGGCCGUUCUUAGUUGGUGGAGUGAUCUGUCUGGUUGAUUCCGAUAACGAACGAGACUCUACCCUACUAACUAGUCGGCGGAUCGUAACCCUGAGAUGGUUAGUUUGUAUAGGGCGGUUGUACGAGCCGCGUGCGAUAGUUUUGUCUCGGGCGUAUUUCCGCGCGUGGGUGCUUCACGGCUCUCGCGUUAGCGGGGAUGCGUUUCGUGGGCGGGCUACUCGUUCCGCGACAAAGCUUCCGUCUGAUUACUGCUACUGCUGGGGGCGUCCGUCGCAAUGUAUCUUCUUAGAGGGAUCAGCGGCGUAUAGCCGCACGAGAAAGAGCAAUAACAGGUCUGUGAUGCCCUUAGAUGUUCUGGGCCGCACGCGCGCUACAAUGUAGAGAUCAGCGUGCUUUCCCCUUCCGAAAGGAACGGGUAACCCGUUGAAACCCCUACCCGAUUGGGAUUGGGGAUUGCAAAUAUUUCCCAUAAACGAGGAAUUCCCAGUAAGCGUGAAUCAUUAAUUAGCGCUGAUUACGUCCCUGCCCUUUGUACACACCGCCCGUCGCUACUACCGAUUGAAUGAUUCAGUGAGGGCAUCGGACUGGCGCCUUCGGUUUAGUAACAUAGACCUUAGGCUGACGGAAAGAUGUCCGAA
rnacentral:rRNA from 1 species